UCCUCAGUAGCUCAGUGGUAGAGCGGUCGGCCGUUAACCGAUUGGUCGCAGGUUCGAAUCCUACUUGGGGAG
rnacentral:tRNA from 1 species